rnacentral:lncRNA from 1 species
CAGAGAUGAUUGGCUGCUAAACAAAUACCCACUGGACUGAUGGAAAUAGUGAAGAUAUCAAACAUACAUUAUUUUUGUUUUUUUAAUAUUGCUAUUCUCUGUUUCAAUUUCUGGACAUGAUUCAGUUGGCAUUGCACUACACAGUAAUGUGAUAUGUAAUGGUUGUUCUAGAAGCAAUUAACCCAUUUCUAAUUGUUCAUGCAUUGAACCCGUGUCAAUAUUUCUCUCUUUCUCCAACUCUAUGUCCUAUCUGUGUCUGUCUCUUUGUCACACCACAGACCCUGUCAACAAACUGGUGUGGAUCGGUGUUGGUCUGGUAGUCAUGGUGACGGUGGGAGGACUGGCUCUACUCCUGUUCUACAGACAGAGAAGAAGAAUCAGGAAAUCAACACAUCCACUCUCCUCCAACACCGACACUGCCCCUAGUGGACGGGAGAUCAGAGGGGCAGACCGACAGACAGACACAAUCCCUUCAGUCGUCCCGUCAGUCGUCCCGUCAGUCGUCCCUUCAGUCGUCCCUUCAGUCGUCCCUUCAGUCGUCCCUUCAGUCGUCCCUUCAGUCAUCCCUUCAUUCAUCCCUUCAGUCGUCUCUGUUGUCAACUCUCCUGAUGACUCUGUAAUCUACUCUGCUAUACGAGUCACAUGUAACCCUCACAGUGGUAUUGAUGCUGAGGCCAGUUGUCCCAAAUAUGAUAUAGGCCCAUGCUAUUCUACUGUGGACUCUCACAUAUAUUAUGUGAAUCCAACCUACUCUACUGCAGAUCCCCCAGAUUCAGUUGUUUACUCCUCUCUGAAGCUGCCCUGAAUAUUCUAGAAUCACCUCAUUCAAUCCAGAUGAACUGACAAGAGCUGAGACCCAACAACAUGUUUCACUUUACCUUCACCUUGAGUUUUACUAAGACAUCUUUACCAUUCAGAUUCACAUUGAAACAACUUCUGUGUUUUGACAUUGUGUUUGAUACAACUUUCAGACCCAUAUUUGAUGAAAGUUAACCAAUUCAAGUUGUAAAUAUUUAUGCAAUUGUUUUUUGCAUUUUGGCAAAAACAUGUUUUUUCAGUGGUAAGAAUGAAGACAACACAGUAGUAACUAAGUCACAUCUAACAAAUGUAUGUAUUUAUUUUCUGCAUAAAUCUGCAUUUUAUGAACAUUUUUCUGAA